rnacentral:rRNA from 1 species
AAUCCAUAGGUUAAUGAGGCGAACCGGGGGAACUGAAACAUCUAAGUACCCCGAGGAAAAGAAAUCAACCGAGAUUCCCCCAGUAGCGGCGAGCGAACGGGGAGGAGCCCAGAGCCUGAAUCAGCAUGUGUGUUAGUGGAAGCGUCUGGAAAGGCGCGCGAUACAGGGUGACAGCCCCGUACACAAAAGCGCAUGUGCUGUGAGCUCGAUGAGUAGGGCGGGACACGUGGUAUCCUGUCUGAAUAUGGGGGGACCAUCCUCCAAGGCUAAAUACUCCUGACUGACCGAUAGUGAACCAGUACCGUGAGGGAAAGGCGAAAAGAACCCCGGCGAGGGGAGUGAAAAAGAACCUGAAACCGUGUACGUACAAGCAGUGGGAGCACAGGUUUACCUGUGUGACUGCGUACCUUUUGUAUAAUGGGUCAGCGACUUAUAUUCUGUAGCAAGGUUAACCGUAUAGGGGAGCCGGAGGGAAACCGAGUCUUAACCGGGCGUUAAGUUGCAGGGUAUAGACCCGAAACCCGGUGAUCUAGCCAUGGGCAGGUUGAAGGUUGGGUAACACUAACUGGAGGACCGAACCGACUAAUGUUGAAAAAUUAGCGGAUGACCUGUGGCUGGGGGUGAAAGGCCAAUCAAACCGGGAGAUAGCUGGUUCUCCCCGAAAGCUAUUUAGGUAGCGCCUCGUGAAUUCAUCUCCGGGGGUAGAGCACUGUUUCGGCUAG